GGGGCUAUAGCUCAGCUGGGAAGAGCGCUUGCAUGGCAUGCAAGAGGUCGACGGUUCGAUCCCGUCUAGCUCCACCA
rnacentral:tRNA from 1 species